UACGUAGGGUGCAAGCGUUAAUCGGAAUUACUGGGCGUAAAGCGUGCGCAGGCGGUGAUGUAAGACAGAUGUGAAAUCCCUCGGCUUAACCGGGGAACUGCGUCCGAUACUGGAUGGCUUGAGUAUGGGAGAGGGAUGCGGAAUUCCAGGUGUAGCGGUGAAAUGCGUAGAUAUCUGGAGGAACACCGGUGGCGAAGGCGGCAUCCUGGACCAUUACUGACGCUGAGGAGCGAAAGCCAGGGGAGCAAACGGG
rnacentral:rRNA from 1 species